CACACUUCAGAUCCUGCAGCUCACAGUCGCCUCCUGCUGGCUGGAAGGAACUGCGCAGUCUCUCUGAGAGCUGGUCAACGGGGAAUGACCCCCCUUUUACCUUGUACAGAUCCGGAUGGUAUGUUGUCGUUGUAGGCCCAAAAAGCGUGGUGUCGGAUGGGAUCCCGUUGGGUCCUGGCUGCCCUACGUCACCCUGCAGAUUGUUCAGCAAAAGCGACAGUUUUGAAUCAGAAGAAGGUUCCACACACACACACGACACCUGAGAUUGAGCUCAGCUAUCAUGUGACCGGAAGGGCAGCAGAUGAGUGCUGGGUCACCCUCUGAAGAAGGCUGCUGUGUGUGUUCUGAGUGCUAACACGCUCGAAGACUGUCUGAGGCCACAGUACCCAUGACGGCCU